GCGGUGGAGAGUGGCGAAAGGGUGAGGAACACGUGGGCAACCUGCCCCCAAGUUGGAGAUAACCCGCCGAAAGGUGGGCUAAUAUCGAAUGUGGUCCCCCGGCGCAUGCCGGGGUGAUUAAAGGCGGGGACUCCCGAUCUUGUAUCGGGGGCCUGUCGCUCGGGGAGGGACCCGCGUCCCAUCAGCUUGUUGGUGAGGUAACGGCUCACCAAGGCUUACGGGUAGCUGGUCUGAGAGGAUGGUCAGCCACACUGGGACUGAGACACUGCCCAGACUCCUACGGGAGGCUGCAGUCGAGGAUCAUUUGCAAUGCGCGAAAGCGUGACAAUGCGACGCUGCGUGGAGGAUGAAAGCCUUCGGGUUGUAAACUCCUGUCAUUCGGGAACAAUAGCAUGAGGGUUAAUACCCCUUGUGAAUGAUGGUACCGAAAGAGGAAGCCACGGCUAACUCUGUGCCAGCAGCCGCGGUAAUACAGAGGUGGCGAGCGUUGUUCGGAUUUACUGGGCGUAAAGCGUGCGUAGGUGGUUUCGUAUGUCGGAUGUGAAAGCCCAUUGUUCAACGGUGGAACUGCAUUCGAAACUACGGGACUUGAGUUCAGGAAGGGAGAGCGGAAUUCUUGGUGUAGCGGUGAAAUGCGUUGAUAUCAAGAAGAACACCGGUGGCGAAGGCGGCUCUCUGGAAUGUAACUGACGCUGAGGCACGAAAGCUGGGGGAGCGAACAGGAUUAGAUACCCUGGUAGUCCCAGCCGUAAACGGUGUGCACUUGGUGUGGGGGGAAUUGACCCCCUCCGUGCCGGAGCUAACGCGUUAAGUGCACCGCCUGGGGAGUACGGGCCGCAAGGCUAAAACUCAAAGAAAUUGACGGGGGCCCGCACAAGCGGAGGAGCAUGUGGCUCAAUUUCGAUGCAACGCGAAGAA
rnacentral:rRNA from 1 species